rnacentral:rRNA from 1 species
GAUGAACGCUGGCGGCGUGCCUAAUACAUGCAAGUCGAGCGAACAGACGAGGAGCUUGCUCCUCUGACGUUAGCGGCGGACGGGUGAGUAACACGUGGAUAACCUACCUAUAAGACUGGGAUAACUUCGGGAAACCGGAGCUAAUACCGGAUAAUAUAUUGAACCGCAUGGUUCAAUAGUGAAAGACGGUCUUGCUGUCACUUAUAGAUGGAUCCGCGCCGCAUUAGCUAGUUGGUAAGGUAACGGCUUACCAAGGCAACGAUGCGUAGCCGACCUGAGAGGGUGGUCAGCCACACUGGAACUGAGGCGACAUCCAGACGACUACGGGAGGCAGCAGUAGGGAAUCUUCGGCAGUGAGCGAAAGCCUGACGAAGGAACGCCGCGGGAGUAAUGAAGAUCGUCGGAUCCUAAAACACUGUUAUUAGGAAAGAACAAAUGUUGAAUAAACUAUUCGCGUCUUGACGGUACCUAAUCAGAAAGCCGCGACUAACUACGAG